GAAGUGGGGUCGGUCCCUUUAGACUACCACCAUGCUGGGCCAGCUAGUUCGUUCCAGGUAUUGUUCACAGUGAUGAGAACAGUAAUGGCUGAAGCUUUUCGGAAGCAGAAGAGGACGACAGACUCUUAGGACAGAGCAUCCCCGUUCUGUCCUGGAGGUCCUCAGUUCUUCCUCAUCUAAGCUGCUUGCUAAUAGCCACAUUGGUCCUGGGCCAAUCCACGUCUUCUCAACUCCUCAUCUGCUCUCACAUCACAUCCAAUCCAACUGGCAAUGGUGCUGCUGCUACCAGUGCAGUCAGCCCCAUCCCAUCACCCCACCCCCACUAAAGAAAGUCCUUACAGUGAUGCCAAGGCCAUGCCUCAGGUUACCGAUUUAACAUCCCCUCUGCUACAGCCACGUGAUCUGUGCGGCGAAUCCCAAUGCCUCAGCAGCUUCUGCUUCAGAGCUGUUGCCUGUCUUUCCCUCCAUCCUGACAAGCUCCCUGAAGAUGAGCAAUUAACUCCUCCUCUUGCCCUCUCCCAAGCUUUGUUUAUUACCUACUGAAAUUGUAAUUAAGGUGCCAUGCCCAGAAUUCCUUGUCCUCCUUCCCAGGAAGGAGGAUACAGAUUGGUCAUUAUUGUUUCUAAUCCAAAAAAAAAAAAAAAAUCUAAAAUUGC
ensembl:antisense 1700031A10Rik RIKEN cDNA 1700031A10 gene